AUGGAUUCCCUUGAGAAAACAAGAAAGGUAUUUAGUACUAUGAACAGUGAACAAAUUAGACAUUUUCAGAAAGAGUUGCUACUUGCUAGAGCAAAAACUAUCAAGUCUGCACUGAACCGUUGGCAUAAUUGUCUAUACAUUUUUUGUAACAAAGGUCCAAGUCAAGGAAAGAAAAAGCAGAAGCGUCCCACGUCACUCCCCACGGGCGGCUUGGGCGCGCACCCUAGCCGUCACCGAAAAACCACCCCACCGCCGCCCCUCCUCCCCGCCGCCACCAGCAAGCACCGCCGGGCAAAGCCUGGACGGCAACGGCGGCGACGUGCUCUCCCUUUCCCGCUCGUGAGGUGUGCUAUGUGGGGCAGCUUCGCCAAGUGA
rnacentral:rRNA from 1 species